rnacentral:rRNA from 1 species
UACGUAGGGUGCAAGCGUUGUCCGGAAUUAUUGGGCGUAAAGAGCUCGUAGGCGGUCUGUCGCGUCGGCUGUGAAAACCCGGGGCUCAACCCCGGGCCUGCAGUCGAUACGGGCAGACUAGAGUGCGGUAGGGGGAGACUGGAAUUCCUGGUGUAGCGGUGAAAUGCGCAGAUAUCAGGAAGAACACCUAUGGCGAGGGCAGCUCUCUGGGACGGUACUGACGCUGAGACGCGAAAGCGUGGGGAGCGAACAGG